UGGUUCUGGCAUCGAUGAAGAACGCAGCGAAAUGCGAUAAGUAAUGCGAAUUGCAGAAUCCGUGAGUCAUCGAAUCUUUGAACGCAUAUUGCGCCCCUUGGUAUUCCGGGGGGCAUGCCUGUUCGAGCGUCAUUAUCACCCCUCAAGCCCGGCUUGUUGUUGGACGCCGGCGGGGCCUCUGGGCCCUGCCCGUCUCAAAGAUAAUGACGGCGUCUGUGAGGACUCCUGUACACUGAGCUUUCGGGCACGUACUAGGCUAGCACUCCAGGCCCGGUCUCCUGGUGCGUCGGUUCGCCGGCCCGCCACUUUUUUCACAAGGUUGACCUCGGAUCAGGUAGGAAUACCCGCUGA
rnacentral:misc_RNA from 1 species